rnacentral:rRNA from 1 species
UACGGAGGGUGCGAGCGUUGUCCGGAAUCACUGGGCGUAAAGGGCGCGUAGGCGGCCUGGUAAGUAGGGGGUGAAAUCCUGCGGCUUAACCGCAGGGCUGCCUUCUAAACUGUCAGGCUCGAGCACGGUAGAGGCAGAUGGAAUUCCCGGUGUAGCGGUGGAAUGCGUAGAGAUCCGAAAGAACACCGGUGGCGAAGGCGGUGGUCUGGGCCUGAACUGACGCUGAGGAGCGAAAGCCAGGGGAGCAAACGGG